rfam:Sorghum bicolor cultivar BTx623 chromosome 3, whole genome shotgun sequence.
GUUGUCGUAUCCACUUUAAUCCAUGUGUGUUGGUGUGGAUUGAUGUGAAAUUUAGUUCAAGUUCCACUUCAAUCCACUUCAACAUAUGUGGAUUGAUGUGAAUCCAACA